UCCUUUUUCAGUGAAAAGGAUGCUUGCUAACAAGUUGCUAAAUGGGACACCGAGCUUAUUUUCUGCACAACAGGUGAAGAGCAACUUUAAAAAUUUAGCAAACUAUUGAUAGAAUCUCAAAACAAGAGACUGUUCUACAUGGCUAUAUACAUUCCCAUAACAAAUGUGUGGAGGAUCAGUUCAGACGGGAUAAAGAUUAUGAGUACAAUAAGACUAUACUUUGAGUUAUUUGCUAGUAUAGCUUGUAGAACUACAGAACUGAACUUAGAAACUUUAAUUCUGAACUUCAUGAAAGCAAUGAAUUCAGUCCCACGUUGACAUCCUAUGGCACCCGAUGUAAUAGGACGUUUGACAGGCAGGUUUCAAUUAGCGUGACUGCACGUCUUGUAUCUUUUAAUAGGAAAUCCGCCGCUGCUGUGAGGGAGAAAGCUUCAAUGCUCUCUGCUGCAUCUUAAUAAAAAUAUGUAUAAAAAAGAGAAGAAGAACUGGGUUUCCACAGCAACUGGCACCUGAGUAACGGCGGAGACGUGCUUGAAGGCAUCAGGAGCAGCAAGCAUUGAAGUGCUCUACAGAACAUCUUUGAUGCACUCACAAACUCUGGUCUCGCGUCAAGCGCUUAUACACCGCGCGUGAUUCGACCUGACGGAAACAACCCAUGAAAUCUCAGAGUCUCCUCACCAGGGGGAACACGGCCGACAAUAGGCCCUAAUUAAAGCAUGCUGUGGGCUGACAGAGCCCAUUCUUCGCCACAGCGUCCCGUUUAAACUGGGCCUCCCUUCCUGUGCCAUCCACACCCACCUCACUCCACUAAUUUCAAGUGGAACCGUGAAGGCUUAAUGGAAGACCUCGGAUGACAGGAAGUCAACGUGACCUGAUUACUCAGCGAAAGCGACGUCCGUGGAUGCUCUUCGGAAGCCGAGUGGCAUUCCCCGUCUCCAUUGCUCCCUGGGAUAAAGAGAUUGCCCUCCUUCUAAUGGAAUUACAGAGCUGGAGAACAUUGAGACAGAGAAGAGAGAAGACUGUGGAAAGGACAGGCCGGUUAACCUUCUCAUCUCGAGACCAGACGAGGAGCUCACAACCUUAAUCCCUCCAUAGUCCUGUGGAUUAGGCCGUCCUCUUAUCACGGCUUUAAUGCGGCGAGCUGCAUUGUCAUCUCCCUUUCUUUGCCGCGUAAUUAUCCCCGCUAGCAGCUUCCAGACUCAUUAUUUUUAUCAUACCACUUCCUGUACGACCAGUGGGGGGGCCAGUGAUUCAGGCCCCUAUCAAAGAUGUCUUGGAUCUGUUCCUUACAAUGAGCUGGUGCACAGACUGCUCUCAUUCUGUUGCGGUUCUACCCAGAAUUCCAUGUUUAUCCUUCAUUUGCUCACCCUUAUGUCAUCCAAAACCUGCAAGACUUUCCUUCUUCCAUGGAACGCAACAGGUAACAUGUAACCUGGUUUUCUAGAUCAUUCCCUGUCGCCUGGUCAUGCGCUCUGUUUACUUGUUUAGCGCGGCAGACCUGAAGGAAGCUCGAACCGUGACGCCGUCACAGAUGAAAGCCGCUGUCUGGGGAACGCUGUCAUUGAGGUGAAUGACAGAUUCACUCCUCCAUACUGUCACAGCUGACAGGGAUUCAUCCGUCCCAAAUAAAAGCUUUCAGGAGCUCCAUUGUUUGUUACAUCAUUUCUUUUUUUUCGCCCACACAGGAGCACAGUCACAAAUAAUUCAUGGUUUGUUUUGUUUUAUUAUGUCAUGCUCGGAACAACUUGAAUUAGAGCUCUCUUACAAAUGGGAAAUAUUUACAUAAAAACAAUAAUCUUUGUUCAACUUGCCAGCAUGGCCCAGCCCUUCCUGAUUUGAGCAACAGCGCACCUUACUCUAUUCCGUUUCCUUAUUUUGGUAUCUUUUCCUCUCUCUAUAUCUGUCUCGUUUUUUUAAGCGUGAGAAUUGAUGAAUGUCAAAGAAAGUUGGAGCCUAUUUGCUUUUUGAGCUCAUGCUUUUCAGUGUGGUGCACCAUAUACUAGAACAUCAACAUUUGAAACCUGUCGAGAACACGUCCGGGUCAUAUUUCAGCACAAAAUUAAAAGGAUAAAGAGACAGUUAUU